GGUGCUAUAGUGUAGUGGUCAUCACUCGGGAUUUUGAUUCCCGGAACCCAGGUUCGAACCCUGGUAGCACCU
rnacentral:tRNA from 2 species